rnacentral:rRNA from 4 species
UUUGACCUCAAAUCAGGU